UGGGGAAUAUUGCACAAUGGGCGCAAGCCUGAUGCAGCCAUGCCGCGUGUGUGAAGAAGGCCUUCGGGUUGUAAAGCACUUUCAGCGAGGAGGAAGGGUUCAGUGUUAAUAGCACUGUCCAUUGACGUUACUCGCAGAAGAAGCACCGGCUAACUCCGUGCCAGCAGCCGCGGUAAUACGGAGGGUGCAAGCGUUAAUCGGAAUUACUGGGCGUAAAGCGCACGCAGGCGGUUUGUUAAGUCAGAUGUGAAAUCCCCGCGCUUAACGUGGGAACUGUAUUUGAAACUGGCAAG
rnacentral:rRNA from 1 species